rnacentral:lncRNA from 1 species
AGACGUCGUUUUAUUCCCGUUGCCCAGGCUGGAAUACAAAGGCGUGAUCUCGGCUCACUGCAACCUCCACCUCCCAGGUUCAAGCAAUUCUCCUGCCUCAGUCUCCCGAGUAGCUGGGAUUACAGGCAUGCGCCACCACCCUCGGCCAAUUUUUUGUAUUUUUAGUAGAGACGGGGUUUCUCCAUGUUGGUCAGGCUGGUCUUGAACUCCUGACCUCAAGUGAUCCGCCCGCCUUGGCCUCCCAAAGUACUGGGAUUACAGGCGCGAGCCACCGUGCCCGGCAAGCAUCUGAAUAUCUUAACGUGGACUUAUAAUAAUGGAACAGCAGUUAACCAAAGCAGGGUCUAAGAUGAAAGACUGCCUGAAAUCAUUCCUAAACACAUGCUCAUGUGAGGAUGCCUCACUUACCUGCCAUGUCUGUGAGUACAAACCUGGAGUUUGUUUUUUGGGAUUUUUUUUGGUGGGGGGGAUGGAAUCUCGCUCUGUCACCCAGGCUGGAGUGCAGUGGCACAAUCUCGACUCACUGCAACCUCUGGCUCCCAGGUUCAAGCAAUUCUCCUGCCUCAGCCUCCCGAAUAGCUGGGAUUACAGGUGCCUGCCACCACACCCUGCUAAGUUUUGUAUUGUUAGUAGAGACAGGGUUUUGCCAUGUUGGCCAGGCUAGUCUCGAACUGCUGACUUCAAGUGAUCUCCCGCCUCGGCCUCCCAAAGUGCUGGUAUUAUAGGCAUGAGCCACCACGCCUGGCCUGAGGUUUGUAUUAUGGUGUAAUAUCACAGUGGUCCUUGGGAAAGAGCUCCUCUCUCCCUUGGAAUACAUUUUCUUUUCUUUCUUUUUUUUUUUUUUUUUGAGAUGGAGUCUCACUCUGUCGCCCAGGCUGGAGUCCAAUGGUGCGAUCUCAGCUCACUGCAACCUCCACCUCCAGGACUCAAGCCAUUCUUCUGCCUCAGCCUCCCAGGUAGCUGGGACUACAGGCAUGCACCACCACGCCUGGCUAAUUUUUGUAUUUUUAGUAGAGACAGGGUUUCACCAUGUUGGCCAGGCUGGUCUCAAACUCCUGACCUCAAGUGAUCCACCCAUCUCGGCCUCCCAAAGUGCUGGGAUUACAGGUGUGAGCCACCGUGCCCAGCCUGGAAUACAUUUUCCCAGGUUCUUAAAAUUUAGUCCUUUACAAAUCCAUGAAGAAAGAGGAGGAAUCCAAUGACAAUUUAGAGUUGGGCUCCUUGGUGGAGUGAGGACUGCUUUUUUUCACAAAGUACCCUUAACCUUGGUUAGUUUGGAUCAUCACAGUUUGAACCCUGUCAAGGUAUAAUUUUCAAAAAGUUGAAAACAUGACUCAUACAAAUAUAGUAUGAACAUGUGUCAAGUAUUUAUUAACUUAUUAUAAGGGAACCGAUAAGAUGGUAAGUAAAGCUGGUUCAAAGAGCAUGUUGAAGAACUAAGUAUUCACAGAUAUUUAAGAAGGAAUGGCCAGAUGUGAUGGUUCACACCUGUAAUCCUAGGACUUUGGGAGGCUGAGGCGAGAGGAUCACUUGAGUUCAGUUUGAGACUAGCCUGGGUAACAUGGCAAAACCCCAUCUCUACAAAAAAUACAAAAAAUUAUCUGGGCAUGGUGGUGGGUGACUGUAGUCCCAGCUACUCAGGAGUCUGAGGUGGGAGGAUUGCUUGAGCCCAGGAGGUAAAGGCCGCAGGGAGCCAAGAUGGCACCACUGCACUUCAGCUUAGGCAACAGAGCCAGACUCUAUCUCUUAAAAAAUAAAAGAAGAAGAAGAAGAAGUAAUGUUAUUAGCAGGGAAGAGGUGUUAAAGUACUAGAUUAGAUAUAAAACUGGUUUAUGUCUAAAUCAGUUUAUGUUUAAAUACAUAGGGCAGUAAACUGUUAACCUUUAGGGCUAUCUUUUCUAUUGGAUAACAUGUAGCAUACAACUUCAGAGUCUAAGUUAAUGGAUAAUAAAUAGCAAAGUCAGGUGGGGUGCAGUGGCUCAUGCCUGUAAUCCCAACAUUUUGGGAGGCCAAGGCAGGUAGAUCACCUGAGGUCAGGAGUUCAAGACCAGCCUGGCCAACAUGGUGAAAGCCCGUCUCUGCUAACAAUACAAAAAUUAGCCAGGUGUGGUGGCGCAUGCCUGUAAUCCCAGCUUCUUGAGAGGCUGAGGCAUGAUAAUUGCUUGAAUCUGGGAGGUGGAGGUUGCAGUGAGCCGAGAUGGCACCACUGCACUCCAACAUGGGUGACAGAGCAAGACUGUCUCAAAGAAAAAAAAAACAAGUAAAACAAACAAAAGCACAUUCCCUUAGCCUGGAUAACUAAAUUAUUCUUGGAUGAGACUAUCAUGUCUCUCAAUCUCCAGUAUGACAUUGAAAGUACAUGCCACCUACCUUUUAUCUUGUUCCCACGUUUGAAAUAAUUUUUCUUUUUUUUUUUCUUUGAGACGGAGUUUCACUCUCGUUGCCCAGGCUGAAGUGCAAUGACACACUCUCGGCUCACUACAACCUCCACCUCCUGGGUUCAAGUGAUUCUCCUGCCUCAGCCUCCUGAGUAGUUGGGAUUACAGGCAUGCGCCACCACGCCCGGCUAUUUUGUAUUUUUAGUAGAGAUGGGCGUUCUCCAUGUUGGUCAGGCUGGUCUUGAACUCCCUACCUCAGGUGAUCCACCCGCCUCGGCCUCCCAAAGUGCUGGGAUUACAGGCGUGAGCCACCAUGCCCUGGCUGAAAUAAUUUUUCUUAACACCUUUAUAUUUCUUCAGCCAAGCAUUUGAACCCUCUGCCCCUCACCACUCAUCAGUAUGCCUUUAUAUGUCCCAAUGCCUUCUAUACUUUCCCCCCAUGCAUUUCACACACUUACACCUCAGAAUCAUUGCCCCCCCUGUUCUCCCCUCAACCAAGAACCCUGUGGCUCUUUGCUGAAGUCAAGGUACUACUUUUCCUCAAGGGCAAUAUGGUUGGCACCUCCCCCAUAGAAUCAGUGCUGUAAUGAAUCCAAUCACCCUUGAUCAUUCUUCCAAAUUACUUAAUACCUAUCUUUCUUAGCUUGUGUAAACAAAAGGUGUCUUGGGAUUUCACUAUUUUAUUUACUUGGAAUCUCUCUAGAGACAUCCUGAUGAAAAAGAAAGUCUUCAACUAUUAAGGCAUUUGGCCCUGUUUAAUUGGAUUUGACUGCUUGGGCACACCUGCACAAAAGCUUUCAAAUGAAAUGUGCAUUUUUUUUUUUUGAAACGGAGUCUCACUCUGUUGCCCAGGCUGGAGUGCAGUGGCGCUAUCUUGGCUCACUGCAAGCUCCGCUUCCCGGGUUCACACCAUUCUCCUGCCUCAGCCUCCCAAGUAGCUAGGACUACAGGCACCCGCCACCACGCCCGGCUAAUUUUUUGUAUUUUUAGUAGAGACAGGGUUUCACUGUGUUAGCCAGGAUGGUUUCGAUCUCCUGGCCUCGUGAUCCGCCCGCCUCAGCCUCCCAAAGUGCUGGGAUUACAGGUGUGAGCCACCGCGCCCGGCCUGAAAUGUGCAUUUUUGUUGCAUGGGCCUAAUUUAAAACUGGCCCAAGGGGACAUUUUGUACAAUCGCCGAGAAAUUUGCAAUCUCAGAUUGAGACUUAAAAUUAUUAAAUUCAGCUUUGACUGAAUUUUUGAUGCAAAAAAAAAUCACGAAACCUUAAAUACUGAACCACCAAAGAAGGGUGAUAGACAAUUAACUCUGGCUGUUAGCCUGUGUUACUGUCAUUACAACACUUAAAAACUGUGCUAGGGUAAAUUAAACCUUUUGGGUUUCAGUAAUUAAGAUACCCUGAGAGGAACACAACCUCAUAGAUCUUGGUUUCUUGUGUUGUGUAGUUAAGUGGCCUUACAGGCUGGCUUGUGAUGAUGUCAGAGAAUGGGAUGUGGAGCUUAACUGUUCUUAGCAUUUUGCUAGGCCCUAUGAGGUAGAGGAGGCAUUUUUCCCAAUAUAGAGUCAUGUAGCUUAUAUGUGGUGUGGAAAUAAAUGAAGACCAACCAAAUAAGAACAGGCAAAAGCGAUUUCAUCAGAGCUUGCUAUAGCAAAGGAGUCAGACAUCAUCACAUGUUUUGGCAGAGACUCAAAGUCAGGCAAAGGAGUGGGAAAGCUUUAUGGUGGAAAAAAGGGAAGACUUCAGGUGUGACUCAAUUAGAACCCAUGAGUGGUCUAAUCAGAAGUGGGACAUCCUAUAUGGAUAUUUGGCUUUCUUUCAUUGGUCCUAAAUUGGAAGCAAGGACAAAAAUUACGUAAGCUAUCUGUUAUUAUUCAAGUCCUGGCUGUUUGGGGCUGAUUGUUACAGGGUUGUUGUUUGGCUUCCUGGACUGGUUGCUAAAGAUAGGGGUCUGAUUUCCUUCAAGUCUGACUUAUAGAUAGUAGGCUAGUUACUGUAGAUAAUGGGUUGGUUUCUUGGGCUGGUGGCUGCAGAUUAUGUAUCAGAGUCCUAUUUUUAUAUACGGUCUUGCUAUUGUCCAUUUGCAUAUUCAGUCUCUCUGUGUUAAAACUGCUUGAAUCUGGGGCUUUUUUAAAAAUAAUAGAGGUGGGGUCUUGCUAUGUUGGCCAGAGUGGUCGCAAACUCCUGGCCUCAACAGUCCUCUUGACUCAGCCUCCCAAAAUGCUAGUGUGAGCCACCAUGCCUGGCCUGAAUCCAGGGCUUUUUUAUUCCACAGCUAUGUUCUUUCCACUAUUGAAUGCUAUCAGAUAAUAUCAAGGAAUUAAAUAAAAUAUAAUCAGCUUCUCCCUUUUCUCCUUCAAACACAUCAGCCAACAGCUUUUUUCUUUUCUUUUCCUUUCUUUUUUUUUUUUUUUUUUUGAGAUGGAGUCUUGCUCUGUUGCCCAGGCUGGAGUGCAGUGGCACGAUCUCUGCUCACUGCAACCUCCGCCUCCCGGAUUCAAGCAAUUCUUCUGCCUCAGCCUCCCUAGUAGCUGGGAUUACAGGUGUUCACCACUAUGCCCACCUAAUUUUUGUAUUUUAAGUAGAGACAGGGUUUCACCAUGUUGGCCCAGCUGGUCUCAAACUCUUGACCUCAAGUCAUCCACCUGCUUUGGCCUCCCAAAUUGGUUGGAUUACAGGCAUGAGCCACCAAGCCCAGCCAAGAAAUCAUUUCUAAUUUAGGCACAAUAGGAGGUUGAAUCACAUCUGAUGUAAGGCUUGUGGACUACAGGCAUUUAACUGCUGAGUGAGCUUAGUUACACGUGCAGUAUCCUCCUUUUCGUACAUUUCUGAUGUUCUCUUUUUGCCAUAAAGUAUACAAUUUAGUAGUAUUAAGUACAUUCACAUUGCUAUGCAGCCAUAACCACUAUCCAUUUCCAGAACAUUUUCCUCAUCCCAAACAAGAACUUUGUAUUCAUUACAUGAUAACUCCUCAUUCCCUCCUUUCUCUACCCUUGGCAAACACCAUUCUACUUCUGUCUGACUACUCAUACAGUAUUUGUUCUUUUUGUCUGGCUUAUUUCACUUAGCAUAAUGUUUUCAAGUUUCGUCCAUUUAGUAGCAUGUAUCAGAAUUUCGUUACUUUUUAAGGCUGAACAAGUACUCCAUUGUAUGUAUAUAUUACAUUUUGUUUACCUAUUUAUCUGUUGUUGCAUAUUUGAGUUCUUAAAGUUAAUUACACUAAGUAUUAUAGUUAAGAAGCACCAGUUUUUCUUCUAAUACUAUAUUUGGAAAAAUGGGGAGACAAAAAUAGUACAAGAUAGAGAUGCUCAAUCUGUAGCUUGUGGCGAAAAGAUUCACAAAUAUACAGUAAGUAAUCAGAGAUGGAGGUAACCUAUCAACCAGAAUGUGACAAUGUAAGGAACUUUGGAAUAGGCAGAAAAGAGGACUUGGUGUCUCUAAUAAAAAGCUAUGCAUUUUUAGUGCACACUCUUACAGGUAAUCUAAAUAUAACUCUAUCACUCUAUCAUUGCCUUUGAGCUACUUUACAACUCUGUAAGUUGUAGAUAACUGAUAUUAAUGCAAAAUAAUUCUUGUAUAAACAUGAAAAUAAAUUAUAUUCUGUGAAAAAAAAGUUUGGCUAUUGUGAAUAAUGCUGCUAUGAACAUGGGUGUACAAAUAUCUGUUAGAAUCCGUACUUUUGAUUAUUUGUAUAUAUACCUGGGAGAGGAAUUACUGGACCAUAUGUUAAUUUUUUUUUUCUUACCAUGAGUUUGACUUUUUUUUUUUGAAACCGAGUCUGGCUCUCUUGCCCAGGCUGGAGUGCAAUGGUGCGAUCUCGGCUCACUGCAACCUCUGCCUCCCGGGUUCAAGCGAUUCUCCUGCCUCAGCCUCCCGAGUAGUUGGGACUACAGGCGCGCACUACCACGCCCAGCUAAUUUUUUGUUUUUUUAGUAGAGACAGGGUUUCACCAUUUUGGCCAGGAUGGUUUCGAUCUCUUGACCUUGUGAUCCGCCCGCCUUGGCGUCCCAAAGUGCUGGGAUUACAGGCGUGAGACAUCGCGCCCGGCCACCUAGCUAAUUUUAAAAUCAUUUUUUGGCCAGGCGCGUUGGCCCCCCUCGCCAAUCCCAGCACUUUGGGAGGCUGAG